rnacentral:rRNA from 1 species
GACGAACGCUGGCGGCGUGCCUAAUACAUGCAAGUCGAGCGAGACUCUUCGGAGUCUAGCGGCGGACGGGUGAGUAACACGUGGGCAACCUGCCUGUAAGACUGGGAUAACACCGGGAAACCGGUGCUAAUACCGGAUAAUCCUUUUCCUCACAUGAGGAAAAGCUGAAAGUCGGUUUCGGCUGACACUUACAGAUGGGCCCGCGGCGCAUUAGCUAGUUGGUGAGGUAACGGCUCACCAAGGCGACGAUGCGUAGCCGAACUGAGAGGGUGCUCGGCCACACUGGGACUGAGACACGGCCCAGACUCCUACGGGAGGCAGCAGUAGGGAAUCUUCCACAAUGGACGAAAGUCUGAUGGAGCAACGCCGCGUGAGCGAUGAAGGCCUUCGGGUCGUAAAGCUCUGUUGUUAGGGAAGAACAAGUACCGGAGUAACUGCCGGUACCUUGACGGUACCUAACCAGAAAGCCACGGCUAACUACGUGCCAGCAGCCGCCGUAAAAC